rnacentral:misc_RNA from 1 species
AGACGGAGGGGGGAAAAUGUUUAAUAUUUUUUUUUAUCCCACUUUAAUGUGUAAAAGCGUCGGGACAUACCAGGCGUCUGCGCAUCGCGCGAGUCGCGCUAUGUAUAGCCUGGUGAUACGCCUGGGGCAUCGGUUCCUUCGUGCGAAUUAUAUGUAUGUUCAUUGCAGGGCCGGUCAUCGGCCAAAGCGCAUCGAGCCGCUUCUCGGGUGCGGAAACGUUGUUUAAAAAAAAAAAAAAAAAAAUCGUCCUGUUCGCGAAAGUCGAUGCGAGCGCGCAACCGAAGACGAAAAGGUGCAGAUUCCCCCCCCCGCAAGAGACUCACAAUUCUCUCAGUGUGCAGUUUCCUCAUCAGCUGUUUGUCGAUUGCCGAAUAAAUUUAUUUUUCAAUGAAUGCGAAUCGAUGCAAGUUUGAGGAAGGAUUGCGCUUGGAACCAGCAAUAAUUUUGCGAAGAAUAAAAAGACGAUUCUCGAUCCUUUCGUAUCCAGUCUAAGAAGGAACGCGAAAAAUCUCACAGAAGAUUGCUAAGCAGAUUUUAUUCCAAGAUUCAGAUCUCGCCAUUGAUCAAGACAAAGACAUCUCAGAAGGAUCUUCCAAUAGACAUGUCUCGAGCAUCUCUUAUAACGCCUGAGAACAAUUUGCAAGCCGGGGAUCGUUGCAACGUUGUAAUGCUUGAGGCUGGAUUGCCCGGCGAUUCGUGGACAUAUUGCGUCGAA